AAACUUGCCGCUGGUGCAG
rnacentral:misc_RNA from 1 species